AUCACUUCUCAGCCUUUUGGCUGAGAUCAGGUGUUGUAUCUGCUCUUAGCAGUUAAAUGUCUGACAUGCCCUCUAUUUGAGGAUGCAGGAUUAAGUAGAUUUUUAGUACAAGGAGGUGAAGUAUGGAGCUUGCUCUAUCCACUCCACACAGUCAUCUGGUGCUGCCUCCUUGGGAGUAGCUAUC